rnacentral:tmRNA from 1 species
GGGGAUGACGGGAAUCGACUGGUAAAUUGUAGAUAAAGGUCAAGCCGAAGAUGUUAGAUACUUCGUAAAAGAUGCUAACAAAAAACAAUUGCUGAAAAAGCAGAACUUUCUCCUGUAGAAGCCGAAUACGCCUUGGCGUACGCCUAAACAGGUGUCCUUAAAUUUCUUUUUUGACGGGAAUUUUUGGGCAUAACCAAAGUCAAAAGCGUUGAAGUGAGAGGGUUACAUCUUUCUUCAAUUAGAAAUUAUAACCCGCGCUAGGGAGGUGUUUGUACCUUUACACACCUUGCGCGUUUCAUUAAAAAGAUACUAAGCUUGUAGCACAUUUAUCGUAUCGUUUAUCAACACGGGGGUUCAACUCCCCCCAUCUCCACCA